CCGGUUUCCGUAGGUGAACCUGCGGAAGGAUCAUUAUUGAAUGAACUUGGUGUGGUUGUUGCUGGCUCUCUCGGGGGCAUGUGCACACCCACCAUCCUCAUAUCUCCACCUGUGCACUUCUUGUAGACCUGGAUACACUUUCCGAGGCAACUCGGUCUGGAGGAAUGCUGUGCAAGCUUUCUUUGUAUUUCCUGGCCUACGUUUUUUCAUAUACCCCAUAGCAUGUAACAGAAUGUAUCAUUGGGCCUUUGUGCCUAUAAACCKUAUACAACUUUCAGCAACGGAUCUCUUGGCUCUCGCAUCGAUGAAGAACGCAGCGAAAUGCGAUAAGUAAUGUGAAUUGCAGAAUUCAGUGAAUCAUCGAAUCUUUGAACGCACCUUGCGCUCCUUGGUAUUCCGAGGAGCAUGCCUGUUUGAGUGUCAUUAAAUUCUCAACCUUAUUAGCUUUUGCUGAUAGUGGCUUGGAUGUGGGGGGUCUCUUUUGCUGGCUUCAUUCAUGGAGGUCAGCUCCCCUUAAAUGCAUUAGCUGGUGCCCCGCGUGGACUGUCUAUUGGUGUGAUAAUUAUCUACGCCGUGGAUGUCUGCAAUUAUAUGGGUUUUGCACUGCUUAUAACCGUCUGUUCAUUCGGACAAUACAUGACAAAUKUGACCUCGAAAUCAGGUAGGACUACCCG
rnacentral:rRNA from 1 species